GUCUCUCUCUCCCUCGUGGUCUCUCUCUCCUCCCUCUUCCUUCUAACUUUGCAUUAAAACACCUAUGUAUUCCUUCUAUCCGCAAAUGAAUAGCAAAUUACAUUUGUUGAUCACUAUCUUUCUAAUACCCAUUUCACAAUACCGAGCCAAACUAAGCCGAGCUGUACUAGAAUGGCCUGGGUACGCAUCACCCAGUUGCUGGAGCUGUGCUGGAAAGCACACUGUGAAAAUAAAAUAUCCCAGCCAGCACAGUACAGUUCGGGCUGGCCCUAUAGUGGAAAUCGGGUUUAAGUCGACAGUAUCCAAGGCUAACCUUCAUCUACACUUCUUCCUGGUUCUCCUCAGAUCACCCUGGUGUAUGACACACUGACCAGUUCAUCAACCAAUCUAAAUUUAGAGUACGCACCUGGGCCCUGGGCAUCCCGAGUGGCCUCUCUCCUCAUCCUCACCCCGCUGAUGUGCAUCCCUGUCUACAUUCUGCUGUGUCUGUGGAGGAAUCCUAAAGGGAUGACCACUCCGUCCAGUGACCUGCGCCAGGCACGGCCACACGAACCCAGACUCAGCGUGUGUGGGCGUGUCAUCACCGAGGGACAAGAGAAACCCCCCAGGAUCGCAGGGGGUCGGGAUGAGAAGCUGGCCAUGGAGGAGAUCAGUGGAGUCUAGUGUUGAUGACAUCAUAGAACCUCGACCGUCAGGGUGCCGGGCUGCCUGGUUGGUCUAUGCAGGAAUACCAUGAAAGUCUGGGUCGUAUUCUUUAUGGCGUCAGGUAGCCUAGCGGUUAAGAGUGUUGUACCAGUAACUGAAAGGUCAACUGGUUUGAAUCCCCUAGCCUACUAGGUAAAAAAUCUGAUGCGCACUUGAACAAGGCACUUAACCAUAAUUGUUCCUGUAAAUUGCUCUGGAUAAAAAUGUCUGCUAAAUAACUAAAAUGUAAAAAUUAGCCACCAAACGGAAGAAAAAGGACUGAAAAAUGAGGGACAACCUGAACUUGUUCAAUAAAAAAAAGAAGCACAUUUUCUAUCAAAUACUUUGCUACGCUGUGCUCUAAUGAAUACAACCCAGGCUUCAACUGACCAGACUGAAUGGCAGAUGGAGGUCAACACCAACAAAAACAAAUGGUUGACAUUUCAGACGCAUCAUGCUACAAAUGUUUACACCUGCUCUUAAAUAUUCAGAGGGGUUUUCUCUCUGUUCUAUCUGUUAUUGUUUACUUUUCCUCCUGGAUUGUUAUUUUGUUUACCAUUUUGAUAACCUAGUCCAGAACCCUUUCAUAUACCUCAUAGGUUACACUAAUGAACCUUGUAUAUUUCUAUGUGCUACAUUUUUUUACUUGCCCCAUAAACAACCUCCUCAUAAUAAAUUAAAAUGUUUUCUGUA